rnacentral:rRNA from 1 species
GUGCCAGCAGCCGCGGUAAUUCCAGUCUCCAAUAGCGUAUAUUAAAGUUGUUGCAGUUAAAAAGCUCGUAGUUGAACCUUGGGCCUGGCUGGCCGGUCCGCCUCACCGCGUGUACUGGUCCGGCCGGGCCUUUCCUCCUGGGGAACCUCAUGCCCUUCACUGGGCGUGUUGGGGAACCAGGACUUUUACUUUGAAAAAAUUAGAGUGUUCAAAGCAGGCCUUUGCUCGAAUACAUUAGCAUGGAAUAAUAGAAUAGGACGUGUGGUUCCAUUUUGUUGGUUUCUAGGACCGCCGUAAUGAUUAAUAGGGAUAGUCGGGGGCAUCAGUAUUCAAUCGUCAGAGGAGAAAUUCUUGGAUUGAUUGAAGACUAACUACUGCGAAAGCAUUUGCCAAGGAUGUUUUCAUUAAUCAGUGAACGAAAGUUAGGGGGAGCGAAGACGAUCAGAUACCGUCGUAGUCUUAACCAUUAAACUAUGCCGACUAGGGGUCGGACGGGGUUAGUAGUUUUGACCCGUUCGGCACCCCACGAGAAAACAAAGUAUUUUUUUCUGCGGGGAGUAUGAUUCGCAAGGCUCAUACUAUAUGAGAUGAUGAAGGGAGAGCCCCACGCGGUGAAGCGUGCGGCUGUUUUUGUCUCAUCACAGGAAACACACCCAGCUCGACACGCAAUAAGGAUUACGGGAUGGUGGGGACCUUCUUUCAUGUUUUAUUGGGGUGGUGCCUGGGCCGCACCUUCCCUAGUUGGGGGCAG